UCAGUCGACUCCUACGGGGAGGCAGCAGUGGGGAAUAUUGCACAAUGGGGGAAACCCUGAUGCAGCCAUGCCGCGUGUGUGAAGAAGGCCUUCGGGUUGUAAAGCACUUUCAGUAGGGAGGAAGGUAGUGUAGUUAACACCUGCAUUAUUUGACGUUACCUACAGAAGAAGCACCGGCUAACUCCGUGCCAGCAGCCGCGGUAAUACGGAGGGUGCGAGCGUUAAUCGGAAUUACUGGGCGUAAAGCGCAUGCAGGCGGCCUGUUAAGUCAGAUGUGAAAGCCCGGGGCUUAACCUCGGAAUUGCAUUUGAAACUGGCAGGCUAGAGUCUUGUAGAGGGGGGUAGGAAUUUCAGGUGUAGCGGUGAAAUAGCGUAGAGAUCUGAAGGAAUACCAGUGGCGAAGGCGGCCCCCUCGGACAAAGACUGACGCUCAGAUGCGAAAGCGUGGGGAGCAAACAGGAUUAGAUACCCUGGUAG
rnacentral:rRNA from 1 species